AUUUAUUGCUGUCAGUUGUUGUAUAGCUCAAGUGGUAGAUGGCCAUGCUGAAGGAUCUACAGGUCUGAAAUCUGAAUCUCCUUGGACAAAAUCUCCUUGGCCUGAAGAAGGAGAACAUUGGGAACCUGAAAGCCAUGGGGAGGCCAGCACAACAGAACAGGUUACGAAACGCCUGGACACAGGAGGAGGGGUGGAUGUCGUAUACCUCGACUUCAGGAAGGCCUUCGAUACGGUAUCCCACCCCAUACUGGUGAACAAAUUAAGAGGCUGUGAUGUGGAUGACUGCACAGUCCGCUCACACAGGGUAAGUCACCUCUGAUCUGAGUGCUUCACAACCUGACUGCUCUACCUGCCCCAAUAUCUUAAGUAGGAACCGCCAGAGGAAACACUUUCCAAAUGGAAUGAACAUGCUGCAGUCAGUUUGAACUCUUCUUACCCUCAGAUUAAAUUCCUCUUCAAUAAGCUACCUUUAUAAAUUCACACUUCUCAACACAUAUGGAACAUCAUACGUCACCCUGUCACUGCAUGCAAUGAAAAAUAGUGAUACUGCCUUCCAAGGAGCAAUAAUGAACAUUAUAUCAGUAAGCCAUUAAAAAAAUAAAUCUACAUUAGCCUCAUAUCUUUUUUUUUUUCAAUAAGCUUGCUGUAGUUAUUGCUGAAAAGUAUUGACUACUAAACAUACUCUUAAUUUUUGGAGUAAUUCCUUUUUCUGAAGAAAAUUGAUUCCAAUUCUUCUAGACCAAUCAGAAACCUAUUUACAUAUAUUUAAACACAAAGUAAGAUAUUUCUUAUCCCGAUGAUAUGCUAAAUUACUUUAAUAUUAGAUUUCAUUCUAAUUUGAAACAGUCCUUCAUCAAAAAGUCUUUGUCUCAAAGUGUUUACAAUAUAAAUAGAAAAAGACGUAUCAGAAAGACUGUUACUUUCUAUUCUACAGAGACAAAGAAGACAAAGAUCUCAUAACUUUCGUCACACUUUGUACCAUAUAUACAAUUCAACAUGAAUAAAGACAUAAGAAUGCAGCUAAAAGAAAUAUGAUUUGACCAAAAUGACACAUGGAAACUAGAGAGGUUAAUAUUUGAAAAUGAGGAGCACCUUCACCAGCAACAGACUGCAAUUGGAUAUAAUGAUGCUGAGAAAAUGAGACCAAGUGAUGUCAGAGAUCAUACAAGAAGUCUCUGGCAAUGGCAGAAAUCUAAUCUAGAUCUCAUGAAUUCCACUCUUCCAAGCAGAGAACCUUUUAAUAACAGCAGCAACAAUCAUAAUUAUAAUAACAGAACAAUAAUGAUAAUGAUAAUAGUUGUUGUUGUUGUUAUUACUCAUGCCCUCGUGAGUCUGGGACAGACAUUACAUAAACUUGUUUGACCCAAAUCAGUUAAGUCUGAUACUACAUUCAGCCAGGUUUAUCUCAAACCGGUUUCAGCCAUUUUCAAGCUGGUUUAUGUGCACUGAACAUUUGUUCUGUUACAGGCUUAAACCAGUUUCUGAUCACUUAGACCAGUUUAUGUGUAAUGUCUGUCCCUAGCCCUGAUAUUUUAGUCAUGUGUAACUGUCAAACUGACAAUACUCACUCAACACAUCUACUGUUGCAUCAAAUCCACUUCCUGCUAUUCUCCUCCUACCAACUCUGAAUAACAUCCUCAGUUCUCUUCUCCUGCUCCCAUUUUUGCUCAUGCUUAGCAGUGAAUUAUAGAAUCACUUAUUCCUCUAUCUUUAUUCCCCUUUGAUUCCUUCUCCUACUCCCAUGUUUAUACCUGCCUUCCAUUCCCAGCCUCAUGGGAAUGGACUGAUCUUUAUAGCUCAAGAUAAGCAAUUGCAUUUUGCAGGGGCAGAUGUGAAAUGGCUUGUGCAAAAUUGCAUGAUGUAUCAUCAGCAGAACAGAUUCCUGGGGUCAGAGACCUACAAAUUCCCUGUUUUUACCAUUACAUAUCUCCUUCGUUUGCUCUUUUUGCCAAUUUAGUUUGUUUUCUAAAUAAAAAAUUUCAAUUACCACCUUGUUCUUUAACUUAGUGCCCCUGGUUUUUCCUUAGUAUUUAGAAGUUAGUAUCUGAAAGAAGAGCAUUUCACCUCUGGGUCAAUAGUUCAAUUCCAGCCUCAUCUGGUAAUGUUUGUAAAGCACUUAGAAGAUGAAGACUGCUAUAUAUAACCAGUAAGUAUUAUAAUUAUUAUUAGAC